UGGGGAAUAUUGCACAAUGGGCGCAAGCCUGAUGCAGCCAUGCCGCGUGUGUGAAGAAGGCCUUCGGGUUGUAAAGCACUUUCAGCGAGGAGGAAGGGUAGUGUGUUAAUAGCACAUUGCAUUGACGUUACUCGCAGAAGAAGCACCGGCUAACUCCGUGCCAGCAGCCGCGGUAAUACGGAGGGUGCAAGCGUUAAUCGGAAUUACUGGGCGUAAAGCGCACGCAGGCGGUUUGUUAAGUCAGAUGUGAAAUCCCCGCGCUUAACGUGGGAACUGCAUUUGAAACUGGCAAGCUAGAGUCUUGUAGAGGGGGGUAGAAUUCCAGGUGUAGCGGUGAAAUGCGUAGAGAUCUGGAGGAAUACCGGUGGCGAAGGCGGCCCCCUGGACAAAGUCUGACGCUCAGGUGCGAAAGCGUGGGGAGCAAACA
rnacentral:rRNA from 1 species